UGUAAGCGUAUACCAAAGUUGUUGCAGUUAAAACGCUCGUAGUCGGAAUUUGGCAGUUCCGGAUGUGUGCACGUCGUGUGCGCACUUCGCGGGGAUUGCUUUUGUGGUCUUGCGUAGGAUGAGGCACUUUUAUUAGUGAACGUCCUCACGCAACCACUUUUUACUGUGAGAAAAUCAGAGUGCUCAAAGCAGGGAUUUGCCGUGAAUGUAUUAGCAUGGAAUAAUAGAAUAGGACUUGGUUCUAUUUUGUUGGUUUGUUGGGACUGAGUAAUGAUUAAGAGGGACAGUUGGGGGCAUUUGUAUUUCGGUGCUAGAGGUGAAAUUCUUAGAUUACCGAAAGACAAACUGCUGCGAAAGCGUCUGCCAAGGAUGUUUUCAUUGA
rnacentral:rRNA from 1 species